AGAUGGAUUGGUGCCUUCGGGAACUNUNAGACAGGUGCUGCAUGGCUGUCGUCAGCUCGUGUUGUGAAAUGUUGGGUUAAGUCCCGCAACGAGCGCAACCCUUAUCCUUUGUUGCCAGCGGUUCGGCCGGGAACUCAAAGGAGACUGCCAGUGAUAAACUGGAGGAAGGUGGGGAUGACGUCAAGUCAUCAUGGCCCUUACGAGUAGGGCUACACACGUGCUACAAUGGCAUAUACAAAGAGAAGCGACCUCGCGAGAGCAAGCGGACCUCAUAAAGUAUGUCGUAGUCCGGAUUGGAGUCUGCAACUCGACUCCAUGAAGUCGGAAUCGCUAGUAAUCGUAGAUCAGAAUGCUACGGUGAAUACGUUCCCGGGCCUUGUACACACCGCCCGUCACACCAUGGGAGUGGGUUGC
rnacentral:rRNA from 1 species